rnacentral:rRNA from 1 species
GUGCCAGCCGCCGCGGUAAGACAGGGGGUGCAAACGUUGCUCGGAAUCACUGGGCGUAAAGCGCACGUAGGCGGUUCUGUAAGUCAGAUGUGAAAGCCCUCGGCUCACCCGAGGAACUGCGUCUGAUACUGCGGGGCUUGAGGACGGGAGGGGAGAGUGGAAUUCCUGGUGGAGCGGUGAAAUGCGUAGAUAUCAGGAGGAACACCGGUGGCGAAAGCGACUCUCUGGUCCGUUCCUGACGCUGAGGUGCGAGAGCUAGGGGAGCAAACGGGAUUAGAAACCCUAGUAGUCC